UGGAUGCAUAGUAAAAUGGUGGAGAUCUGCGCGUCAUCUUAAGAAUUAAGAAAAGCGUGUAGGAGUAGGUCAAUAACAGCAAAAAUUUGACAAGUUUAGUUGCACUGGUGUUUAUAAGAUGGCGCCUAAGUAGAAAGAUUGUCAACGUGGAAUCGGAGAGAGAUUUAUAAGAGCGUCUAGUCGUAAGGUACAUUAAGUGAUAAUGUGAUAUGAUAUAAGAAGAGAGCAUAUGCUGCCAACCAUGUACGGAUAACAGUGUAAAAGGGAAAAAUGAUUUCCCUAUCACUUCAAUAAAUCUAACCUAAACCUAAACCUAAA